rnacentral:misc_RNA from 1 species
GUGAAUCAUCGAAUCUUUGAACGCAAAUUGCGCCUUUUUCGGAAGGCAUGUCUGUUUGAGGGCACCAUUUAACAAAUAAUGUGCUGUGUUUUUUGUUGCACACGUUGAUGAGCUUUCCAAGAAUUUUAAAUUUUUGGUUUCGCAUAAUGAACAGCGAGAAAGUUUUUUUCAGUUCGAGUGUCGUAAAAUCUUUGCUUUGGUUGUGAAAAUACUUAAUCGCGCUAUGGGUGUGGCAA